rnacentral:rRNA from 1 species
CCUACGGGAGGCAGCAGUGAGGAAUAUUGGUCAAUGGACGAGAGUCUGAACCAGCCAAGUAGCGUGAAGGAUGACUGCCCUAUGGGUUGUAAACUUCUUUUAUAUGGGAAUAAAAUGUUCCACGUGUGAGAUUUUGUAUGUACCAUAUGAAUAAGGAUCGGCUAAAUCCGUGCCAGCAGCCGCGGUAAUACGGAGGAUCCGAGCUUUAUCCGGAUUUAUUGGGUUUAAAGGGAGCGUAGGUGGAUUGUUAAGUCAGUUGUGAAAGUUUGCGGCUCAACCGUAAAAUUGCAGUUGAAACUGGCAGUCUUGAGUACAGUAGAGGUGGGCGGAAUUCGUGGUGUAGCGGUGAAAUGCUUAGAUAUCACGAAGAACUCCGAUUGCGAAGGCAGUUCACUGGACUGCAACUGACACUGAGGCUCGAAAGUGUGGGUAUCAAACAGGAUUAGAUACCCUGGUAGUC